rnacentral:lncRNA from 1 species
UCUGGGCCUUAAUGGCAAAAAAAGAUAAAUCUGGAUCAAAUGGAUACAUUGUCAGUACAUAAAGAAAAAAGAUAUUAAUACUAUGAGAAUUCCUAAACAAGCUAGCUAGCUCGUUAGGAAAUUUUUUGGCGCAAGAGAAUGGUGGGCAGCUGAUGGUAUAGGACUACAAACAUGUACAAAUAAUGGGCAAUUUAGCAUCAAGAAGGCAUACAUUCAGACCACUCCUCAAUACCCCAAGGUUACAUGGAAAAAAUUAUUAAUGGUGACUGGCAUGCUCCCGAAACAAAAAUACAUCUUAUGGAUGGCGCUGCAUAGACGCUUGGCGACGGUUGAUAGAUUAGCUAAAUGGGGAAUUCACACUAAUCACUCUUGCAGUUUGUGUGGAAGAGAUACUGAAGAAACUCACGAACACUUAUUCUUUGACUCUUUAUACUCCAAAACAUUGUGGCAAGCUAUGUUAAAAUGGUUGAAAUAUUAAAGAACGACAGGCACAUGGGAAACAGAAAUCCAAUGGCUAACAGCUAAUGUUAACAGCAGAAAUCCCAGAAACACCAUCCUAGGUGUGGUGUUUGCAGCAGUAGUAUACAAUAUCUGGAUGGAAAGGAACAACAAAAGGUUUCAACAGACAACCAGAGACGCCAAAGACCGAGCAAAAAAGAUUACAAUUCAAGUGCACUUCACUGGCGUAAAUCUACCUAAAUGGUCACAUGUUACAGAACAUAAAUAGCUAUCCUUUAUGCGAGUUUCCAUAAUUGUAGCAAUUUUUGUAAUAAUAUAUUAGUUUUAACAACAACAGUUGUAGAGUUUUCAAAAUGAUUGUACUACUGAGAUCUGUUCUAGAGUCCAAAAGAACAGAUGAUGUAAAUUUGCCAUAUAGUUGAAAUAAAAUCAAAAUUNNNNNNNNNNNNNNNNNNUCUAACGGGGGAUAAACGUGGCAUAUAAUUGAAAAUUUGGCGUAUAGUUGAAUAAAAUCAAAAUUUCUUCUAAAAAAAAAAAGAAAGCUCCGGCACAUUAAGAAAGAGUUUGACUCUGACUUGCUUUCCUUCAAUGAUUUAGUGGAUGAAUAUGUUUCUAACUUGGGGUAUAUAAGAGUCCAACAAUUAGUAGUUAGUGGUCCUUCUGGUUCAUAUUAUGAAAUAGAAGGUGAUUAUGGCAUUAGGGCUUUGCUGGACCUUGUGAAUGAACAGUUUUAUGUUAUAAAUUUAUUUGUUGUAGAGGAUUGUGAGCCAAGUAUUAACGUACCUAAUAUAAUCCAUCACAAUGAGCAUGAUGAACCUGAAGUACUUGAAGCUGCCACUGAUUGUGAUGAAAGUGAUAAUGGUGAUGAUAAUGAAAAUGUUGUUUCUUCUGACUAUGACUGUGAUACACUAAAAAAAAUUUUUAAACAAAAGAAGAGAGACAUUAUGAUAAAUUAACUGACUAUAAAGAGUUGGAUAGGUCAAUGACAUUAAAAGACAUUGUUGAAGCUAGAAAAGUUAUAAAUAUGUAUGCACUUGCAAAUGGUAAUGGGUUAGAGCAAGUUAAAAGUGACAAGGGUAGGCUUAGGUACAUUUUUGAAGGUGUCUGCCCUUUUGUAUGCCAUAUAACUAGGAAUACUUCAGGGGUGGGGCUGAAUUUAGGACAUUACAUUCUGAGCACACUUGUGAACUUGCAUAUGAGAAUCAUAGGGUAAAUGCCAAGAACAUUGCUGAAUACUUCAAGAGAAGGUUACAAAAAAAUCCAACCAUUAAGGUUAAAAAAAUGAGGGCAAGCUUGAAGGUUGCAUUUAAUGUAAAUGUGAGUGAGUCAAAGUGUAAGAGGGCAAAGAGGUUGAUUUUGGAGAAUCGGGAAGGUAGUUUUACAUAUGAGUAUAACAAAUUGGUUGUAUAUAUUAAUUAAUUGAAGAGUAGUAAUCCUGGAAGUGAUGUAAUAGUUAACAUGUCAAAGGAUGCUCUUGCCGAAGGCAAAAGAAGGUUCCUAAGGAUGUAUAUAUAUUUUAAUGCAAUGAAGAUGGGGUUUAAGAGUGGUUUAAGGCCCUUUAUAGGGUUGGAUGGAACUUUUUUGAAAGGGAAAGUUAAGGGUCAUCUCUUGGUUGCAAUUCAUCAAGAUUCUACAAACCACUUUUAUCCAUUAGCUUGGGCUAUUGUGGAUAAAUAAACAAAAGUCACAUGGAAGUGGUUUUCAACCCUUCUCCAAAUGUCUUUGGACCUAAAGAUGGGUGAAGGCAUUACUUUCAUCUCAGAUAUGCAAAAGGUAUGAACACUUUAAAUUUUCUUUAUUAUUUUCUUACUUCAGUAGUAUUCCUUUAUUGUAGAUUCUCAUACUUCUUAUUUCCUAUACAUGUAAGGCCUCAUUGAAUCAAUAUAUGGUGUGCUUCCUGAGGCACACCACAGAUUUUGUGUUAGACACAUAGAAGUAAACUGGUGCAAGAGAUGGGGAUUUGGGGAGUACAAGAAACUUCUAUGGUGGGCAGCUUGGAGUACCUAUGAGGAGGACUUCCAAGAUAAAUUGAAGAAUAUGAGCCAACUGGAUGAUGAUGGCAAAGCUGCUGUUGAAGAUCUGUUAAGGUAUCCACCAACCUACUGAAGUAGGGCCUUUUUUUAUACAACUUGCAAGAACCAGUCAGUUGACAAUAACUUGACUGAGUCCUUUAAUUCAUGGAUACUGCAAGCUAGACAGAAGCCAAUUAUAAAAAUGUUAUAGGAGAUAAAAAAGGUGAUGAAUAUAUUAAAUUAUAAUGAAGCUGGAGUUAUUGGGUGGGGAGGUGAGUACAGUCCUAAGACUCUAAACUUGUAUAAUUAGUUUAUGAGGAUUGCACAAAAGUGUCAUGUCAAUGGCAGUGCUGACCAAGGAUAUGAGGUGACAGAAGAUAGUGAUAGGCAUAUUGUCAAUCUAGGAGAAAAAAUAUGCACUUGCAGGACAUGAGACCUUUGUAGAAUCUCAUGUCCUCAUGCCAUCUGUGCACUCUUGUACAUGAAGCAAGAUACCAUAAUUUGUGAGGCAGGCUGGUAGACCAAAAGUAAAAAGAACAAGGGAGGCAAAUGAAUCAACCAAUAGGCAAGGGCUAUGGUCUAAAUCCAGAAAAGGGGGAUUCAUGACAUGUAAUAACUGUGGAGAAUCAGGACAUAAUGCUAGGGGUUGUGCGAAGGUAAUCUACCAAUCCCUUUAACUGUUUGUUUAAUAUAUAACUAGAGAACACAUUAUUGUUCUACAAAGUUUCUGCCUUGUUCUAACACAUUAUUGUGUUCUAUUUGAGAAUAGCACUCUAAAGGGAAAGAGCCAAUGACUGGGAAUUCAAAGAGAAAGCAGACCAAAAAGCAAAGAAUUAUAGUUAAUGAAGCUGUUAAUGAAUAUCCUACAUCACCAGCAGCUACACCUAUCCCAAGUGAAGAGGAAUUCAAUUUAUCAGCACCCCAGCCCAGUAAAAACAGUCAUCCCAGCAGCUUUGUCUUCAUGCCAACCCCUACUGUUCAGCAGCAUGUUCAUCAGCAACUUCCCAUAAAACCUGAGCCUGACAUAGUUGUAAGGCCAAGGAGCAUCUCAGAAGCAAGAAGAAGACUCCAGCUGAGGCAGCAAAACAUACCAAUUGCAAUUAGGCAAAUUGGAUUUGUUGAUGAUUCAAGUGGUGCAAGUCAGGCUUCAGUGCUUACUUUCUCAGUAAAAGGCCUAACAUGGCUGGGAGGAUCUGCCAUCACUGGAAAUCAGUUGAACAAGUAAAGGUUGAAGAAAUUGAAUGCUAGAAAGGGUAGUGGUAAGGAGCAGCAGUAACGAGACUUUGCUUCGAAUAGUGAACAGUUGUAAUAUUUUGGAUGUGUUGUAAUUACUGCUAUGUCAGUAAACUUUAUAUUCUGGAUAUGUUGUAAUUACUGCUAUAUCAAUAAACUUUAUAUUUUGGUUGUGGUUGUAUAGUUCUGAUAGUUGGAUGCCAUGAUAUAGCUAGGUGUUAGACAUCUUUUUAGUGUUAUAGUAUGGUACCCAACUGUUU